GAUGAAGAACGUAGUGAAAUGCGAUAAGUAAUGUGAAUUGCAGAAUUCAGUGAAUCAUCGAAUCUUUGAACGCACAUUGCGCCCGCCAGUAUUCUGGCGGGCAUGCCUGUUCGAGCGUCAUUACAACCCUCAGGCCCCCGGGCCUGGCGUUGGGGAUCGGCGGAAGCCCCCUGCGGGCACAACGCCGUCCCCCAAAUACAGUGGCGGUCCCGCCGCAGCUUCCAUUGCGUAGUAGCUAACACCUCGCAACUGGAGAGCGGCGCGGCCACGCCGUAAAACACCCAACUUCUGAAUGUUGACCUCGAAUCAGGUAAGAAUACCCGCUGAACUUAAGCAUAUCAAUAAGCGGAGGA
rnacentral:misc_RNA from 1 species